rnacentral:lncRNA from 1 species
GAAAGUGGAGACGGACCUGAGCCCGAGGAAGAGGCAGGCAGAGGCUGAGGCUGAUUCCACCCCAGCCUGCCUGGACAACCCUCCUUAGCCGCAGCCCCUUCCAGUUCCCUAGGGGUUCUGCCCCUCCCCCUCUCUGGGGCACCAGCCCCCCAGGGUCCUGCAUCCCACCAUGUCGAUGGCUGUGGAAACCUUUGGCUUCUUCAUGGCAACUGUGGGGCUGCUGAUGCUGGGGGUGACUCUGCCAAACAGCUACUGGCGAGUGUCCACUGUGCACGGGAACGUCAUCACCACCAACACCAUCUUCGAGAACCUCUGGUUUAGCUGUGCCACCGACUCCCUGGGCGUCUACAACUGCUGGGAGUUCCCGUCCAUGCUGGCCCUCUCUGGCUCCACAGACUCCCCAGCCUCACUGUCGGGGGGCACUGGUCUCCUUGUCCGGCUGAUGUCUAUAAAGGGCCCCUGUGAAGGGAGGCGUCUUGCAAGUUGCAGGUUGAGCGUCCGCUGUAAGGAGGCGGUGUGUGUGCAGGGUAUAUUCAGGCCUGCCGGGCACUCAUGAUCACCGCCAUCCUCCUGGGCUUCCUCGGCCUCUUGCUAGGCAUAGCGGGCCUGCGCUGCACCAACAUUGGGGGCCUGGAGCUCUCCAGGAAAGCCAAGCUGGCGGCCACCGCAGGGGCCCUCCACAUUCUGGCCGGUAACUGGGGGAAGGUGAUGGGGCGGGGGUCCCCCUCAACCGCAGACUUCAGGCUGCUUUGUCCUCAUCUAAUCUCCUCUCCAAUUCCCACUCCUCAUGCUCACCUCCCCUACCCUGCUGCAUGGACACCUGCUCACCCCUGCCUCAUCUGUACUCCCCAGAUCUCCUGGCUGCAAAUCAGCCCAUCGGCAGUGUUUCUUGAGCUCCCAGUAGGGGCUGGCCACGGCCAGGUGUGGGAGGGACUUCGAAGAUAAGAGUGAGCGGCUGCCUCCGGGAGCUUACAUCCUAGCUGGGGAGCAGAGUUAGGGUGCACGCUAUGGCGCACACACACAGUGCACGUCCACAGUGCCAUACCACGGGGCAUGGUGGCUCAUGCCUGUAAUCCCAGCACUUUGGUAGGCUGAGGUGGGUGGAUUACUUGAGGUCAGGAGUUCAAAACCAGCCUGGCCAACAUGGUGAAACCCUGUCUCUACUAAAAAUACCAAAAAAAAAAAAAAAAAAAAAAAAAA